GAUUAGGUAGCCUGGUUGUCAUGUGGGCGGAUAUGAUUAGGUAGCCUGGUUGUCAUGUGGACGGAUAUGAUUAGGUAGCCUGGUUGUCAUGUGGACGGAUAUGAUUAGGUAGCCUGGUUGUCAUGUGGACGGAUAUGAUUAGGUAGCCUGGUUGUCAUGUGGACGGAUAUGAUUAGGUAGCCUGGUUGUCAUGUGGACGGAUAUGAUUAGGUAGCCUGGUUGUCAUGUGGACGGAUAUGAUUAGGUAGCCUGGUUGUCAUGUGGACGGAUAUGAUUAGGUAGCCUGGUUGUCAUGUGGACGGAUAUGAUUAGGUAGCCUGGUUGUCAUGUGGACGGAUAUGAUUAGGUAGCCUGGUUGUCAUGUGGACGGAUAUGAUUAGGUAGCCUGGUUGUCAUGUGGACGGAUGUGAUUAGGUAGCCUGGUUGUCAUGUGGACGGAUAUGAUUAGGUAGCCUGGUUGUCAUGUGGACGGAUGUGAUUAGGUGAGACUGGUUGUCAUGUGGACGGAUGUGAUUAGGUAGCCUGGUUGUCAUGUGGACGGAUGUGAUUAGGUAGCCUGGUUGUCAUGUGGACGGAUAUGAUUAGGUAGCCUGGUUGUCAUGUGGACGGAUAUGAUUAGGUAGCCUGGUUGUCAUGUGGACGGAUAUGAUUAGGUAGCCUGGUUGUCAUGUGGACGGAUAUGAUUAGGUAGCCUGGUUGUCAUGUGGACGGAUAUGAUUAGGUAGCCUGGUUGUCAUGUGGACGGAUAUGAUUAGGUAGCCUGGUUGUCAUGUGGGCGGAUGUGAUUAGGUAGCCUGGUUGUCAUGUGGGCGGAUGUGAUUAGGUUGCCUGGUUGUCAUGUGGGCGGAUAUGAUUAGGUAGCCUGGUUGUCAUGUGGACGGAUGUGAUUAGGUAGCCUGGUUGUCCCAGAUAUGUUAAUAAUAAUAUAAUAAGGUGUUUGCCCAUCUACUUUAGGUAUUGGUCUGGGUCCAGGCUAAGGGCUAGUUCAGGGUGGGGAAUUAUUAUUUUGGGGGAAAAAACUAACUCCAGGCUACUCUUGAUUGUCUAAAACUAGAUAAAGUAUGUAGAAAUUAUAAUGGACUUUUAAUAUAAUAUUAAUAUAUAUUUUUAAAUAACUGCUCUUUUGCUGGCCUGCAAACUGUUUUUGACGAACAAAUUGGUCUGAAAAUGAAUCUGUGCUGCCCUCUGAGUUUUGAAAUGCGGGUGUUGCCCUCGAGCCAAGAUGUGUUCCAACCCCUGGACCAGUUGGUUAAACAGGUACAUUUCUUGACGCUCAGAUUUAUUUGAUAGAUCGUCGUUGCAAGUAAAUAAAUACAUUGAUUUGGGAAGCAUUUUAAUUUUUUUUCGUAUUUGAUGAAGCACACAGCUCAAGCUCUUUACUUUAUUUUUUUUAAAUUUUUAGAUGAAAAAAUAUAUAUAUAUUGUCUUCAGAUGACCACUCAAAUUUGUUGGUAUAUGUAAAGCAGUUCCCACACUGAGAGCAGAGGUAGGGUCUCUCCUGUGGGAACUUCCUUGCACUUACUGAGCAUGAAGAAAACUCUUUCUACACUCUGUAGAAGAGGCUAUUUCUUCUAUGUGUGGAUCACCUGGUGGCUUGUAAGAUCACUGGUGUUCGGCAAAUGUCUUCCCACAUUCAAUGCAGAGUGAUAAGGACGUUCUCAUGUGUGCCAUGCCUGGUGAAAACUCUUCCCACACUCAAUGCAGAGUGAUAAGGACGUUCUCAUGUGUGCCAUGCCUGGUGAAAACUCUUCCCACAUUCAUCACAGGUGUAUGGUCUUUAACCCCGUGUGGAUCAUCAUGUGUUUAUUAUCAAGCUCAUCUUUUCGACAAAAGAUGUACCACAUUGUUGGCAACAGUGGGGGUUUUCCUCCUGUGUGGAUUAACUUGUGCCUACUGAGAGAGAUUGUGUGUGUACGACAAACUCUUUUUUUAAAUGUUUUUACACACGCUGUACAAGGGGAAGGAUCUUUCUCCUGUGUGGAUCCAUGCUGGUGCUUUAUAAGAUCUGCAGAGUGUGAAAACGUGCUCCUCACAUUCAGUGCAGUGGUCGUGCUUUUCUCUUGCUUUUCAUCUCUUUUGGAUUUUCUAACCUUGUGUUUUGGUAGGAACUUGAUUUGUUCACAUUUCCAAUGUGUUUUGGUAGGAACCUGUUUUGUUCAGAUCUGUGCCUUUAGGAUGUCCUUUCAUCUGACAUCGUGGUGCAUUUGUACUUUAGAGACAAAUUCAGAUCCUUCUCUCUUCCUCAAACUCACUUAACAACAAGACAUCAGCCUGUUUCAUUUCGAUGUUCAGAUGCCUGUGUAAUCCCUUUUGAUUCUCAGUCUAUAUUUAAAAAUUCCUCGAAGUUUUCAGCCGGGUGACUUUUCAAACCCACUUCUGUUGCUUCAGUUUUGAUGUGAAAAUUUGUCUUAGGCCCGGGAGUAAUACUUAUGUGUUGACAACAUGUGACCAGGCUUCUUCACACUCCUGUCUGGAAAAAGCCUGUUAGUCAGCGGUUGGUCCAAAAUCAGGCUCACUUUUCACAAAAACAGGAAGUGGGGAGGAAAGGCUGGUUCUGGGGAACAAAUCACAGCUCCCCUCACAGCUAGAUCCUAUAUGAAAGCACAUAGUGUUAUUCCAUGUGGAAUUGACUAAACAUGGCUAUGAUAUUUAAUACUUAAUUUGACAAACGACAACAUCUAGUUUAUUUUCUGCAGAAGCUUUUGAGACCUCUGCAUAAAAUCAUAACUGAGAAAUAUUUCAUUAAAGAAAUCUGUAGAUUAAAAUAAUAAUAAUAAUAAUAAUAAUAAUUGCUGUGUUUGUUUGCUCACUGCUCAGAAUACCAACUUCAAUAUCAAUUUGAGUCUUCACAGCGUUUUUUCAGAGAUUGAACAAACAAGAUUACAUUUAAACAUGACAACCAGCAGAACUAAACAAAACUGAUUCACUUUCAGUUCUCUACUCUCUUACGAUGUUUAAUUACCCCUAAAGUAGUUUUUGUCUUUAAGUUAACUGUAGCAUAGUGUAUCACAGGCCUUUAAGUUAACUGUAGCAUAGUGUAUCACAGGUCUUACAGCGACACAACAAGAGAAAUGCAGCUAUACAACAAGGGGAAAAUACAACCGUACAACAAGAAAGCAGAAUCAAAAUGACCAGAAUCCAGUUGAACAUCGGAAGGAUUCAUAGAUUUACCAUAUCGCUUUUUUUAUAUUGACACU